GCGCCCGUAGCUCAGUUGGAUAGAGUGUUGGUUUCCGAAACCAAAGGUCGCAGGUUCGAAUCCUGCCGGGCGCACCA
rnacentral:tRNA from 1 species